UCUCGUAGUUGAACGAAUAGUGCCCUUUAUUGUCACCAAGGUUGUGCUCUGCGGAAAUCACCUUCUCCGGCUCCCGGAAGUACUCCUGACUCAAUGAUAAUCCGGCGCUGAAGGCCAACAACUGAAAGAAAAAUCCCUUACAGAUCUCGCGAAUUCACAUAGACGAAUGCUACUACAGCGGUUGUCAAUCACUGCAGAUCUGCGAGGCCACCCGAAGCGUUGCAGUUGAAGGAGACCGGAAUGAAAAUUGCGCCAGAGGGGUUGAAGAGAGAAGAGGUGGGAAAAGAGACGCGGCGAUCAGGUGCGAAGGGGAAAUGGAAGGGGGCGGAUAGGCUGAGACUGGGUCACCCAUGAAGAACGAGAGUCCCGCUUCGAACGGCCCCGAUGCACUCACCAGGAGGACGCGCAUGCUGUACAUUAUAUCUUGCCAAAUGAGGUGCGGAAGGAGUGGUUAUCGACAGAAGACGAAGCACGUGCGGCACGUUUAACAGAAUGCCCGGAGAUCAGUCCGAUGGUCUCUGGAGUGGAGAUGGCGACUAACUAUUUGCCGGUUGGGGGCCGAGUCUGCCUUUAUAUCCACGACAAUCACCUAGCUUUACAUAACCCGGGAAAGUGUACUUUGAGCAACUACUCCAGCUAGGACUUCCACCUCGGCAUCCUGCGCCCGGCUCUUCUGGUUCUGAAUCCUCGAGGCUUGGGGGGUACGCGUCCUUAGUUUCUACCCUGCCCUCUUCAAACGCCCCGGAAAGACAAUCUCACUUGACUUUUCGACUUCGCCGAGUCUCCUUUCAUCCACCUUACGCAAGCUCGAUCAUCGCUGGAAAAACAGGACGGGGUACCAGGCUUGACCUUCGCACUGUACAACUUCGAUGGAUUCCAUUUUAAGAUCGUGUUAUACCUGGGCGAUUAUAGACUUCGUUAGAAGAGGAAAAUGGAAUCGUUGCUGAAUAAUUUUUUUAAACAACCAAGGUCCUUGAGACACAUCUGGGUCAAGCGGACACUGAAAAGGUCAAGUUUCAUGGUUCACGUCUCGGGAGACCAUUGCGCGUGAUUUAUUCAAUGAAUCCCGUAUUAUUAUAUGUUAAUUAUAUAUAUAUAUAUAUAUAUGAACGCAUUCGUUCAACGCUUAUCCCCGUGGUGCAGUGGAAACUUUCAUUUAAUUCUAGCCAUGAAUAUGUGUCACGUAAUUUGUGUAAUUACGUCGACUUAAAUUAGCAUCGAUCCAUCGACUUUAAGAUUUUGCAAGCGAGCCGACGCAUCUCGAACAUGCACUAACCGGUAGUUAAUGUCAAUCCAUACCCGAACAAGAAUAAGGGGAUGAUUCGGUAUCGCGAUGAUCAAUCCGCCCGAGUGUCGACAUGAAUACUAUACGAUUUUGUAAAAAAAUGUGGAAACUCUUUCAGAAUGAUGAGUUUUCGCUAAUCGUGUUUUGUCUCCAUCGAGCAUACGGAGAAAAAACAAACCUUGCGACAGUGCUUACCGUGAAGACGGGUCAAGCAGUUCAAAUAAGGGUCAAGUUGAUCAACACCGUCGAGUCUCAGCGAUGUGACGGAUGAAUUCGAGGACACUUGUCACUUGAAAGACGUAUUAAAAAAAUUGUACGAAGCUAUCGGGAGGUUCAACUCCUGUCACACAGUAAAUGAGUACACCCGUAAUAGAGCUUGUUGCAGCGACUUGACGCUUGACGUUACCGCUGUUCUUAGAUGCCAAGAAAUAUGAACGCCGAGUCCUUUGUCGACUCAUAAAUCUUUGGACUCCAGGCUAUCUUGUAUCCCAAUCAUUGUCUUGGGCCCAGUUGUCCAAACCUGAUUGACUCAGCACGCAAACACUUCCACCUUAAUAUUACUAGGUAAGUGUGUGAUGUAUUCCACGUGUAAUCUCCGUGCUUCCAACGUUUAUCCGUAUGAAGUUGCUCUCGGCGGAGUUCUGAAUGUGACUUGAUCUCUACGUUCUCUCUGAUAUUUUCCGACCUUUACGGACAUGAGAAUGUGAUUGAAUCCAAAGCCGUCGUUGUAGCUAAUCCCGCAGUUCGUUGAGCUCGUUCUUAAAUGCCUCUCUGAUAUUCCCAACAGUAUACCGUCGAUUCAAUAUUCAAUUAAAUUAUCAAUUGCUUGCCAUUGAUCUUUCAAUGAUCAAUCGAUCGAUGGAUUAUAUUACGUACUUUGCGUUAGUGGAUUGAAAUAAAUUACACUAUAUGGCAACAUGUUUUUCCGUUUGGCCAAUCCCAAACCUACACACGUUCCAUCAUUAAACGAAUGACGCAUCAGAUUUACUCAGAGUGAACUCUCCAAUUGUAUGUUGCAAAGAUUUUGACAAUAUAAAAUGUAAAUACAUUUAAAGAAACUGUUCAACUUUCGACGGGUAAUAUUUGAUGUGAAUUCAAAUCACAGGUUUCUAAAAUUUAGAAAACUUCGCACAAGCAUGUGAAAAAAAAUUUCUCGCAUCAUAAUCGUUACUGCAUUCAAUUGGAGUGCAAGUAGCAGGCAAACUUACGAAAACUGAUUGUUCAAAGAACCAAGUCCCUUCGUCUACCUCGAAAUUGAUUGAAUUGUAUAAUGAAACGGAUGGAGACGCGCUUUGUUAAGAUUCUCACAAGAAAAUCAAUUAUACUCUAUUCUGAUUUUGCCAAGUAUACGUUUCUUGUCGCACCCACAGGCCUGAAGCCUAAACAUGCGAUCUAUUCAGACGUUUGUUAAAUUAAGACACCCGUUUCCAGCUCACACGAUAUGCAGCGACUUAAUUAACAUGAAUGCAACGUAAAUAUGUUGAAUAAUAAAGUUGAAUAGCACCGUGGUAAUUGGUGAGUAAUGGAUUGAAAACAAACAUUCCAUGUUGGAGAUAAGUGACGACGAAGAGGUCAAAGGCCAGGAGCAUCACGCCGCAGGAAUUCUGGAAUCAGUGGUAAUCGCGGGUGUCGCGAAAUCCGAUGACGUUUAAGAGCGACCGUGCAGAUUUAUGCCGAUUGCUUAUGCAGCUGCGACACGUUCCAAGCCGCAAUUUCUCCCGCUUGGCUGAACCAUCGAAAGGACGGAAAAGACCGUUUCGAGCUCUGCACGAGCUGCAACGGCUGUUGCUGCUGCUCCGUUGGAACACCUGACAGAAAAACCACAGUUCAUCAUAUUCGAAGGAUCUAACAAAGCCCCUCAGACCCAGAGGUUAGCAAUGUAGAGAAUUACACGUAUAUGUAUACUCAGUACUGUUUCGCCAAACAUGGACAUCGUCCCUAGAUAAUCGUCUAUUCGUUACAAGGACGAACGAGUAGAUCAGCUACACAGUCUCGCAUGGUUUAACAAAGCGAUGGUGUCAUCGUCUCACCGAUCAUCACUCAUUCGGGAUUUCAAAUUCGAUAAUCUGUAAUUUUUAUGAAAAAUUCCACCGCACCGUCACAUGUUUGAAAUUAUGACAGCAGGCUGCUGCCCGAAAGAUUUUUUUUUUUUUAAACUCUCCUAAGCAGGCGCUAAUUCAAACGACUUUAAUAGUUGGGUCAAAUUUAUUACGACACUCUUGGUGCCUGUGUUGACUUUGUCGCCGCGUCUGUAGCGGUAUGCCACAGGCUGCUAAUCAAAGCAACGACCAGUGUACAUAAUUGCAGUUCGGGUCCAAAUUCGGACACUGGAAAGGACAAGUGGUGAAGAGAAAUUUUGUACACUUGCUGCGGAGAAGAAUAGGUGAAUAAAUUGAAUAAGAACAGAGAUAUAUUACACUUUGUCCCAAUUUUUUCACUUACUUACGUAUGUAUUAUAUAUACAUAUAUACACAUCUCGCUGCAGACCUUGUUUCGUUAUAGGUAGCGUAAUAAUAUUGUAAAAAUAUAAUGUCAAGUUAGUAAAAAGUCCUAGUUUGCAAAACGAACAGCUUAAAUUUAUUUCAAGGCAGCACCAUGUAUUGUCAUGAAGAUACAAGUAAUUUAAAUGAAUUUCUUUCGUGUUUACCGUGUGAAUUUUUAC